ACCCGCUGAACUUAAGCAUAUCAAUAAGCGGAGGAAAAGAAACCAACAGGGAUUGCCCUAGUAACGGCGAGUGAAGCGGCAACAGCUCAAAUUUGAAAUCUGGCUCUUUUAGAGUCCGAGUUGUAAUUUGCAGAGGGCGCUUUGGCUUUGGCAGCGGUCCAAGUUCCUUGGAACAGGACGUCACAGAGGGUGAGAAUCCCGUACGUGGUCGCUGGCUAUUGCCGUGUAAAGCCCCUUCGACGAGUCGAGUUGUUUGGGAAUGCAGCUCUAAAUGGGAGGUACAUUUCUUCUAAAGCUAAAUAUUGGCCAGAGACCGAUAGCGCACAAGUAGAGUGAUCGAAAGAUGAAAAGCACUUUGGAAAGAGAGUCAAACAGCACGUGAAAUUGUUGAAAGGGAAGCGCUUGCAGCCAGACUUGCUUACAGUUGCUCAUCCGGGUUUUUACCCGGUGCACUCUUCUGUAGGCAGGCCAGCAUCAGUUUGGGCGGUAGGAUAAAGGUCUCUGUCACGUACCUCUCUUCGGGGAGGCCUUAUAGGGGAGACGACAUACUACCAGCCUGGACUGAGGUCCGCGCAUCUGCUAGGAUGCUGGCGUAAUGGCUGU
rnacentral:rRNA from 1 species